CAGUGCCUAACAAAGUCGAUGCUGAGCUUGGAACCAAACAACCUGAAUCUCAACCCUCCGUCAAAUAUGCAUUGGCUCCUGCAGAGGAAGGGCGACAACAGGUGGAAGGGAUGAAGAAACAAAAGAUUCCAUCUGGGCCCAACCCAAUUGGAAAUCUGCACCCACCAGAUCGGCCGUAGAUAAAAGAUAAGAUCAACAGCUUUUGUCAUGCGUAGCAAGUAGGAGUUUGGGCGGUGAUGUUCGUUUUGUAGUCUGAAUGUGGAUGAAAUAUUUCUAGGUAAGUUUGAUAAGUUGAUGGAUGUGGUGUGCUGGUUGUAUAAGCAUAAGAUUUAAUUAUUCUUGGGUAGGAAUGCAUCUAAAGCUUCUUGGUAGCUGAGUAA